rnacentral:rRNA from 1 species
CUACGGGCUGCACCAGUGGGGAAUAUUGGACAAUGGGCGCAAGCCUGAUCCAGCAAUGCCGCGUGAGUGAAGACGGCCUUAGGGUUGUAAAACUCUUUCGCUAGGGAAGAUAAUGACUGUACCUAGUAAAGAAGUCCCGGCUAACUCCGUGCCAGCAGCCGCGGUAAUACGGAGGGGACUAGCGUUGUUCGGAAUUACUGGGCGUAAAGAGUUCGUAGGCGGACUGACAAGUUAGAGGUGAAAUCUCAGGGCUCAACCCUGGAACUGCCUUUAAAACUGUCAGUCUAGAGACCGGAAGAGGUUAGGGGAAUACCUAGUGUAGAGGUGAAAUUCGUAGAUAUUAGGUGGAACACCAGUGGCGAAGGCGCCUAACUGGUCCGGUACUGACGCUGAGGAACGAAAGCGUGGGGAGCAAACAGGAUUAGAUACCCGGGUAGUC